rnacentral:rRNA from 1 species
UACGGAGGAUGCAAGCGUUAUCCGGAAUGAUUGGGCGUAAAGCGUCCGCAGGCGGCAGUUCAAGUCUGCUGUCAAAGACCGGGGCUUAACUUCGGAAAGGCAGUGGAAACUGAACAGCUAGAGUAUGGUAGGGGCAGAGGGAAUUCCUGGUGUAGCGGUGAAAUGCGUAGAGAUCAGGAAGAGCAUCGGUGGCGAAGGCGCUCUGCUGGGCCAUAACUGACACUCAGGGACGAAAGCUAGGGGAGCGAAUGGG